ensembl:ncRNA H21P03.8 ncRNA
AUAUAUUUUCUCUUUUCUGAAAGAGAGAGAGAGACGAAGGGCAUAGACAUCUAAACAAUAUCUU